rnacentral:lncRNA from 1 species
GAGAGAGAGAGAGAGAGCGAGCAAGUGAGAGUGAGUGAGCAAGAGAGAGAAAGGGGUGGAGGGUCUAUCAAUCUAACAGGUUGGAGAUAAUCCCCUGUGUACCUUUAGUGACCUCCUUCUUAUAUUCCAAAUCAUAGCAUGUGUUCCAAUUUGACAAUGAUAAUCUGACUUCUUUGUCUUCAGAACUCUCAGGCUUCCUAACUGACAGGCCUGCUAGUAUUCUCAGAACUCUUGGGGCUUCCCAGUCUUUCUCAUCCACGUUGAUUUAUGAUUGCAGAUCAUAUCUCAUAGUUCCUUGUGGUGUGAUGGUAGCAUGGAUGCAGGAAAAAUUAUCUAAACCACAAACUGGUUGCAGUAUGAAUUUCACAGUCAGUCUGCCAAGAAUUCAGCACAUCUCUACCAAGGUUUGGACAAGAAAAAGCAGUCAUCAAAGGCAUGAGAAUAAGAAUCAGAAAUGGAGAUUAGGCCGUGUUGCUAACUCGUUGGAAAUAGAUGAAUGAGAAAGAGUUCUGAAUGAUGAAGACUGGAAUUGAAAUAAACAGAAGCAGAUAUUAAAACA